UUGAUACCACAGCAAUUUAGUUCUAUCGAUCCACUUCUCCAGAAUCAAUACUCCACUACAUCUCGAUCCAUCAAUUUCUUCUUUAUGAUUUCGUUUCAGUUUACUCUUUCUCUCCUUCUUUAUAUACUCAUUAUCUUUCCUGUGUACAAAUCAAACCCUAGAACUUCUCUAACCUCAAUCCAUGGCAAUGAAACCGAAUGGGAAAUCCCCUACCACCUCCGAUUAUGAUGAAAAAAAAUCUGCAACCACCCAAUUCAAAUGAUUAAAGAAAAGCAACAAGAGACUUGAGGACAAGUUGAUUUUGUGGAACUCGACUCCAAGAUUGGUUUGAGCCGGUAAAGAAGAAAAUCAAAGCAACCUCCCAAUUCAUGCCUCUCAAUCUUAGAAGCUCAAUUUUGAUGAAUAGUUCAAGCUGAUGUCAUGGCAAGUUUUUCUCCAGCUGCACUGCGAUCUAACCUUUGAUAUGACCUCUUAUAUUAGACUGAGAGGCACUAGCUAGAUUAUCAAUGAACUUCCCCAAGUUUGGCCUCUUCUCUUGGUCAGCAAGUUGCCUUAUCAGCACAAAACCUCAAGUUGCCUUAUCAGCACAAAACCUCUGGCCUUAAAGUUGUCUUCUCUCGGAUUAUGUACCGGAUAGCACCAUCCACAGUGUCAUCAUCAUCAUGGUCUCAGCCACAACCAUCAAUACGGUUAACAUCAAGGACACUGAAAAUAGCAAAAUCAUACAACGUUGAGGAUGUUCCAGAAGGCUUCACUGCAAACCUCUCAUCAACCCUGGAGAAACUCUACAAGGAAGUCAAGGAUGAAGAGAAGCUUCGAGUUAUCUAUGAAGAAAAGUGCAGAACACUGAAGAAACUAGAUAAUCUCGGUGCAGAGUCUAGCAAGAUUGAUACUACUUGAGCUGCCAUAAGGAAGCUGUUAACGAAACUCGAUGUCUGUAUAAAAUCCGUUGAUUCCAUUUUUACGUAAGAGUAUCAGUAAAGCAACAAGUUUUAGCUUUUCAUACGUUGUGUACAUGGGAAUCUAGAAGGAUAUGACUCUGAAGGUUUGGAACCAUAUAUAUAGCUUUUGUUACUGAUUACAGCCUUUUAGGACCGAAUAAGAACAUUGUCUCCCAACUGUUGUGAUACAUAAUCUGAAUCAUGCCUUCAUGAAGAACCUCUUUCUGGUGUGCUUGGUUUUUAUACUCAUGAGAGGUUUUCAAACUUCUAUUCGCCGCCAAACUUGAAACGAAUCGGAUCCGACAAGAGUCAAAGAUGUCAAACAUUCGUUCAUGUCACGUUGUGUGAUCGAGUUUUCUCACAAGCGUUUGCGAGUCAUUAGUAAUAUGAUGAGUACAUAAACCGCUCCACACCCGUAGCAAAUUAAGGUCUGGCCAUCUUUUACCAAAAAAAGAAGGAUAUCAAACAAGAGAUUUGAAGAAAGCAGCUGCAGGGGGCGGAGAGAGUAAGAUCUGCUAUUCAUUAUUCAAUUGUAACUUUUUAUGUCAAGUCGUUAGAUAAUGCUUUCAUUAUAUCAACCAUUUGAUGACAUAUCUUUCAUCCCAAUUGCUAUUGAUUUUCAUUAUGUUACGAGUUGGAUCUUAUAAAUUCCAUCUAUCUCACAAAAUAUUCUCAUUUUUUAGU